rnacentral:rRNA from 1 species
GACGAACGCUGGCGGCGUGCUUAACACAUGCAAGUCGAACGGAAAGGCCCUGCUUGCCGGGUACUCGAGUGGCGAACGGGUGAGUAACACGUGGGUGAUCUGCCCUGCACUUCGGGAUAAGCCUGGGAAACUGGGUCUAAUACCGGAUAGGAGCCAUUUUUAGUGUGAUGGUUGGAAAGUUUUUUCGGUGUAGGAUGAGCUCGCGGCCUAUCAGCUUGUUGGUGGGGUAAUGGCCUACCAAGGCGGCGACGGGUAGCCGGCCUGAGAGGGUGGACGGCCACAUUGGGACUGAGAUACGGCCCAGACUCCUAAGGGAGGCAGCAGCGGGGAAUAUUGCACAAUGGGCGCAAGCCGGAUGCAGCGACGCCGCGUGGGGGAUGACGGCCUUCGGGUUGUAAACUCCUUUCGCUAGGGACGAAGCUUUUUGUGACGGUACCUAGAUAAGAAGCACCGGCUAACUACGUG